AGCGGCGAACGGGUGAGUAAUGCAUCGGAACAUGUCCUGUCGUGGGGGAUAGCCCGGCGAAAGCCGGAUUAAUACCGCAUACGUCCGAGAGGAGAAAGUGGGGGACCACAAGGCCUCACGCGAUUGGGUUGGCCGAUGUCCGAUUAGCUAGUUGGUGGGGUAAAGGCCCACCAAGGCGAUGAUCGGUAGCUGGUCUGAGAGGAUGAUCAGCCACACUGGGACUGAGACACGGCCCAGACUCCUACGGGAGGCAGCAGUGGGGAAUUUUGGACAAUGGGGGCAACCCUGAUCCAGCCAUUCCGCGUGAGUGAAGAAGGCCUUCGGGUUGUAAAGCUCUUUUGUCCGGAACGAAACGGGCUUGGUGAAUAGCCAGGUCUACUGACGGUACCGGAAGAAUAAGCACCGGCUAACUACGUGCCAGCAGCCGCGGUAAUACGUAGGGUGCGAGCGUUAAUCGGAAUUACUGGGCGUAAAGCGUGCGCAGGCGGUUUUGUAAGCCAGAUGUGAAAUCCCCGGGCUUAACCUGGGAAUGGCAUUUGGGACUGCAAGGCUUGAGUGCGGCAGAGGAGACUGGAAUUCCUGGUGUAGCAGUGAAAUGCGUAGAUAUCAGGAGGAAUACCGAUGGCGAAGGCAGGUCUCUGGGCUGACACUGACGCUCAUGCACGAAAGCGUGGGGAGCAAACAGGAUUAGAUACCCUGUAGUCCACGCCCU
rnacentral:rRNA from 1 species